CCUACGGGGGGCAGCAGUGAGGAAUAUUGGUCAAUGGACGAGAGUCUGAACCAGCCAAGUAGCGUGAAGGAUGACUGCCCUAUGGGUUGUAAACUUCUUUUAUAUGGGAAUAAAAUGUUCCACGUGUGGGAUUUUGUAUGUACCAUAUGAAUAAGGAUCGGCUAACUCCGUGCCAGCAGCCGCGGUAAUACGGAAGAUCCGAGCGUUAUCCGGAUUUAUUGGGUUUAAAGGGAGCGUAGGUGGAUUGUUAAGUCAGUUGUGAAAGUUUGCGGCUCAACCGUAAAAUUGCAGUUGAAACUGGCAGUCUUGAGUACAGUAGAGGUGGGCGGAAUUCGUGGUGUAGCGGUGAAAUGCUUAGAUAUCACGAAGAACUCCGAUUGCGAAGGCAGUUCACUGGACUGCAACUGACACUGAGGCUCGAAAGUGUGGGUAUCAAACAGGAUUAGAUACCCGAGUAGUC
rnacentral:rRNA from 1 species